CUACCCAUGUCCAGGAUGAAGGUAAGGUAAUACUUACUGGAGGUCCGAACCCACGCACGUUGAAAAGUGCGGGGAUGAGGUGUGGGUAGCGGAGAAAUUCCAAUCGAACUUGGAGAUAGCUGGUUCUCUCCGAAAUAGCUUUAGGGCUAGCCUCGAGGUAAAGAGUCAUGGAGGUAGAGCACUGUUUGGACUAGGGGCCCUUCUCGGGUUACCGAAUUCAGAUAAACUCCGAAUGCCAUGUACUUAUACUCGGGAGUCAGACUGCGAGUGAUAAGAUCCGUAGUCGAAAGGGAAACAGCCCAGACCACCAGUUAAGGUCCCCAAAUAUAUGUUAAGUGGAAAAGGAUGUGGGGUUGCUUAGACAACCAGGAUGUUGGCUUAGAAGCAGCCACCAUUGAAAGAGUGCGUAAUAGCUCACUGGUCGAGUGACCCCGCGCCGAAAAUGUACCGGGGCUAAACAUAUUA
rnacentral:rRNA from 1 species